rnacentral:rRNA from 1 species
GGAGGGUGCUAGCGUUGUUCGGAAUUAUUGGGCGUAAAGAGCGUGUAGGCGGCCUCGUAAGUCAGAUGUGAAAGCCCUUGGCUUAACCAAGGAAGUGCAUUUGAAACUGCCUGGCUUGAGUACGGGAGGGGAAAGCGGAAUUCCCGGUGUAGAGGUGAAAUUCGUAGAUAUCGGGAGGAACACCGGUGGCGAAGGCGGCGUCCUGGACCGGUAUUGACACUGAGGAGCGAAAGCCAGGGGAGCAAACGGGAUUAGAUACCCCGGUAGUCCUGGCCCUAAACGAUGUCAACUGGUUGUUGGGAAGGUUCCUUCUCAGUAACGUAGCUAACGCGUGAAGUUGACCGCCUGGGGAGUACGGCCGCAAGGUUG